UGGGAAUUGAUCAACAAUGGCUGCUGCAUCGCGUAAAGAGAGACGACCAGGUGUCAGCUGGCUGUCAACUGAUCUAGGAUGGUCUUGGAGGGACAACGAGGGCAACCCCAUGUCUCUUCUUUAGCAGGCCAGCCCAGACAUGCUUUCAUGGCUGAAUAGGAGCCAGCCUGGUCAUGGGAGCAAUUUUCAAGCAAGUCUCUGCUUGAAUGUCACAUUUACUAACAUCCUGUUGGCCAAGGUGCAUCCCAUGGCUGAGCCCAGUGUCCAAGUGAAAGGGCACCAGGAAGUUCCCUGCAGCGCUGUGGGUACUGGAAGAAUGGGCGCCAUCUUCAUGACAGCAGCAUGCUAAGUUACAGAAAGUGAGCGGCGUUCUAGACAAAGCAAGCUCAUCUGUGAAUGGAUCAUGGCGGAAACCUGACCACAGUAUGUUGGGAUUUAUGUGUUUGACAUUUUCUAUAAUAGAAAGGCAGAUCAAAAAUAAGGCUCCAGUGCCUCCACUCAGGAAAGCUCAAGUAGGUUUUCUUGAGAAUUUUU
rnacentral:lncRNA from 10 species